AGCAGUAGCCACGGGAAUACGAAGGGGGCUAGCGUUGUUCGGAAUCACUGGGCGUAAAGGGUGCGUAGGCGGGAUCUUAAGUCAGGGGUGAAAUCCCGAGGCUCAACCUCGGAACUGCCUUUGAUACUGGGGUCCUUGAGUCCGGAAGAGGUGAGUGGAACUGCGAGUGUAGAGGUGAAAUUCGUAGAUAUUCGCAAGAACACCGGUGGCGAAGGCGGCUCACUGGUCCGGAACUGACGCUGAGGCACGACAGCGUGGGGAGCAAACAGGAUUAGAGACCCCUGUAGUCCCUGUCUCUUAUAC
rnacentral:rRNA from 1 species